UACGAAGGGGGCUAGCGUUGUUCGGAAUUACUGGGCGUAAAGCGUGCGUAGGCGGUUUGUUAAGUCCGUUGUGAAAGCCCUGGGCUCAACCUGGGAAUUGCAGUGGAUACUGGCGAGCUAGAGUGCGGUAGAGGAUGGUGGAAUUCCUGGUGUAGCGGUGAAAUGCGCAGAUAUCAGGAGGAACACCAAUGGCGAAGGCAGCUCGCUGGGACGUGACUGACGCUGGAGACGCGAAAGCGUGGGGAGCAAACAGG
rnacentral:rRNA from 1 species